rnacentral:tRNA from 2 species
GGAGGCGAAUCCGGUCUGGUGACCGGCUCGGUCUUCAAAACCGCAGAGGCCCGGACCACCGGGCCUGGCGGGUUCGAUUCCCGUCCGCCUCCGCCA